rnacentral:rRNA from 1 species
UGGGGAAUAUUGCACAAUGGGCGCAAGCCUGAUGCAGCCAUGCCGCGUGUAUGAAGAAGGCCUUCGGGUUGUAAAGUACUUUCAGCGGGGAGGAAGGCGGUGAGGUUAAUAACCUCAUCGAUUGACGUUACCCGCAGAAGAAGCCACGGCUAACUACGUGCCAGCAGCCGCGGUAAUACGUAGGUGGCAAGCGUUGUCCGGAUUUAUUGGGCGUAAAGCGAGCGCAGGCGGUUUCUUAAGUCUGAUGUGAAAGCCCCCGGCUCAACCGGGGAGGGUCAUUGGAAACUGGGAGACUUGAGUGCAGAAGAGGAGAGUGGAAUUCCAUGUGUAGCGAUGAAAUGCGUAGAUAUAUGGAGGAACACCAGUGGCGAAGGCGGCUCUCUGGUCUGUAACUGACGCUGAGGCUCGAAAGCGUGGGGAGCAAACAGG